UGGGGAAUUUUGGACAAUGGGGGAAACCCUGAUCCAGCCAUCCCGCGUGUGCGAUGAAGGCCUUCGGGUUGUAAAGCACUUUUGGCAGGAAAGAAACGUCAUGGGUUAAGACCCCGUGAAACUGACGGUACCUGCAGAAUAAGCACCGGCUAACUACGUGCCAGCAGCCGCGGUAAUACGUAGGGUGCAAGCGUUAAUCGGAAUUACUGGGCGUAAAGCGUGCGCAGGCGGUUCGGAAAGAAAGAUGUGAAAUCCCAGAGCUCAACUUUGGAACUGCAUUUUUAACUACCGGGCUAGAGUGUGUCAGAGGGAGGUGGAAUUCCGCGUGUAGCAGUGAAAUGCGUAGAUAUGCGGAGGAACACCGAUGGCGAAGGCAGCCUCCUGGGAUAACACUGACGCUCAUGCACGAAAGCGUGGGGAGCAAACAGG
rnacentral:rRNA from 1 species